rnacentral:rRNA from 1 species
UACGUAGGGGGCUAGCGUUGUCCGGAAUCAUUGGGCGUAAGGAGCGUGUAGGCGGCCCGGUAAGUCCGCUGUAAAAGUCAAAGGCUCAACCUUUGAAUGUCAGUGGAUACUGCCGGGCUAGAGUCCGGAAGAGGCGAGUGGAACUCCUGGUGUAGCGGUGGAAUGCGCAGAUAUCAGGAGGAACACCGAUUGCGAAGGCAGCUCGCUGGAACGUUACUGACGCUGAGACGCGAAAGCGUGGGGAGCAAACAGG